rnacentral:rRNA from 1 species
UAAGGAAUAUUGGUCAAUGGGCGGAAGCCUGAACCAGCCAUGCCGCGUGCAGGAAGACGGCCCUACGGGUUGUAAACUGCUUUUGCAGGGGAAUAAACCUUCGUAUGUAUACGAAGCUGAAUGUACUCUGAGAAUAAGGAUCGGCUAACUCCGUGCCAGCAGCCGCGGUAAUACGGAGGAUCCAAGCGUUAUCCGGAUUUAUUGGGUUUAAAGGGUGCGUAGGUGGUUUUUUAAGUCAGGGGUGAAAGACGGCAGCUUAACUGUCGCAGUGCCUUUGAUACUGAAGAACUUGAAUUAACUAGAGGUAGGCGGAAUGUGACAAGUAGCGGUGAAAUGCAUAGAUAUGUCACAGAACACCAAUUGCGAAGGCAGCUUACUAUGGUUAUAUUGACACUGAGGCACGAAAGCGUGGGGAUCAAACAG